CGUGUAGGCGGUAUCAUAAGUCAGUGGUGAAAUCUGGUCGCUCAACGAUCAAACUGCCAUUGAUACUGUUAGACUUGAAUAAUUGUGAAGUAACUAGAAUAUGUAGUGUAGCGGUGAAAUGCUUAGAUAUUACAUGGAAUACCAAUUGCGAAGGCAGGUUACUAACAAUUGAUUGACGCUGAUGGACGAAAGCGUGGGGAGCGAACAGGAUUAGAUACCCUCGUA
rnacentral:rRNA from 1 species